rfam:Triticum aestivum genome assembly, contig: Triticum_aestivum_CS42_TGACv1_scaffold_211406_3AS
CCUGUACUCCCUCCGUUCCAAAAUUCUUGUCUUAGAUUUGUCUAGAUAUGGAUGUAUCAAGUCACAUUUUAGUAUUAGAUACAUUCAUAUCUAGAAAAAUCUAAGACAAAAAAUUUGAAACAGAGGGAGUAUUAA